UACUUUCAGGGUUUUAGUUCUGCUUCUCAGCACUACUAAUCUGGAAGCCUGACCUACCUCUACCCUUCCCAAAACCCUUAAGGCGAGGGAGGAGAAACUAUGUCGUCUCUUUCUUGCCAUGGGCUCCCGGAUUUAUCUCCGGACUCACUCGUUGCAUCUGGUCGAAGCGCAGAGAAGCUGAGCCUUCCAUCCCUGCAAACGAAGAUGAAGUGUGACCCUGAGGGCUACGAGUCCGAGCUACUCCUCCUCUACCGCCACUUUGAUUCAUCUCUUCAGCUUUUCGAACAACAGGCCGCUCUCAAUUUCACUUCCAUAGGUGGCGUUGGUGGUGACGUCUCCGUCGCCAAGGACCUCGGUGACAUGAUCAUGUUCCUCGCUCAUGUUACUCCCUUCUACCCAAAUCAUCUCUCUCAAUUCCCUAAGCAGCUCGCCGACUUACUCCGCUCUUCCGCUCUUUCACUUCCGUCUUCUCUCCGCGGCCAUGUUGUACAAGCCCUUAUUCUUCUUAUGAACCGUAAGGUUGUUGAUAUUGGGGACAAUCUUGCUUUAUUCAUGGAACUUCAAACUUUAGGGGACAGGGCUAUAAGAAAACUGGCCUUCUCUCAUGUUGUUCAUAGUAUCCGGCGCAUGAACCAGAAGCAUAAGAAUGAAGCCAAUAAUCGGAAACUUUAGAAUAUCCUAUUUGCAAUGCUACAGUCAAAGUUGAUCCAUACUAAGUCUAGAAUUGUCUAUUGCAUCAACAAGAAGACGAAUCAAAAGCUAAAAGGUCUCUUACUGUACUUUGUGAUCUUCAUCGGAGAAGGGUCUGGUUUGAUGAUAGGACAGCAAAUGCAAUUUGCACUGCAUGUUUUCAUUCAUCUUCAAGGAUCAUGAUUGCUUCUCUAUCAUUCCUUCUUGGUUUUGAGAAGAUUGAAGCUGAUGACAGUGAAAGCUCAAGCAGUGAUAUGACGUCUGAAAAGCCCCACAUUGUUAUUAGCAGGGAGGAUGUCUACAAGGCACAUAACAAAGGUACAUCUAGAAGUAAGAAGAAAAAGUUAGCAAAACUGAAGCGUGCCACCCGAAGCAUGGAAAAGCAGCAGAGAAUUUCUCAAACCAAGAAUUCAAGUUGUUAUUCAACACUUGGCCAUUUGAAAGAUGCACAGGGAUUUGCAGAGAAGCUAUUUUCUUGUCUUCAAGCUUGCAAUGAACGUUUUGAGGUACAUGAUGUGCAACUUCUUCUUCUUCUUCAUCUUUUGGGUAGUAUCUUCUGCAUUUAUGCCUUAUUUCUUUGUUGUAGUUUCUUAUAUAAAAUGGAUUUUAUUGGGAGCUGAGCAAACCCUAAAAUGUGAUGUAGAACCCCGGUUCGAAAACCUUGUCGGUCCUCUUAUGGGCCCACCAAACUUAAAAUAUGUUAAUAACAAGGGAUAGUGGCAAAACUGUAAAAUAUCAAGCUUAUAAGGGAAGUGGUGGUACUGUAAAUAGGUUGAAGUCCAUAAGAGAGUGUUGUAAUUUAUGAGAAUCAACUAUAAAAGAAGAAAACAACUGAAUGGACAUUAACAUGUUAAUGCGAGGGGUAUUCUUGGAAUUGGAACAUGUAGAGUGGGGGAUGAACAGAAUUAACAUCAGAAAACAUGGGGUUUGGUGUAAAUAACAUUAGUUGUCAUUACUUGUAAUUUCAAAGACCCAAUGUCUUCUUCAACCAUUGAUUCUCAGAUUCCAACAGAGGAGUUCGUCUUCCCGAUAAUGCAGUACUGACAAGGAUUUACACAAGGAGAACCAAGACCAAGGUCGACCCAAUUGGCUAACUGGGUCGACCCAGAUCUGGUCCAAGUCAGCCCAUGAUUUGGG